rnacentral:rRNA from 1 species
CGAACGGCGGAGUAAUACAUGAACAACGUGCCCUAAAGACUGGGAUAGCCAGCCGAAAGGCUGAGUAAUACCGGAUGUGGCCGACCCUCGGCAUCUUGGGUCGAUUAAAGGUUUUUCGCUUUAGGAGCGGUUCAUGGCCUAUCAGGUAGUUGGUGAGGUAAUGGCUCACCAAGCCGACGACGGGUAGCGGGUCUAAGAGGACGAUCCGCUCGAGUGGGACUGAGACACGGCCCAC